UGCGAAUUUAUUUUUAGGGUUAUCGUGGACUAACCUUAGGGAAAUUUUUAGAAAUUUUUAGAAAUUUUUCUGGAGUUAAACCGAGUCCCUAUAACUCGCUUUAAGGGAUAUAUCGAUAGGGUUAGAUGGAGACAGGUUUGGAAUACCCAGAUUAAGUGGGAAUCGAUUAAGGUUAAACUUAGGUUUUAAUUAAGCUAACCUAAGGCUGGGUUUAAUUGCGCUAUAAAACGCCGAAGCCCUUUCUUUUUCCCCGACUCUCUUCUCUAUUCCUCCCCUGCGCCUCACGAUCUCAGACGCCACGCGACCGAGACCGGCGAUCGCUUCUUCCCUCGGUGUCGCCGGCGAGGAGCGGAUCUUGGAGCAUCGAAGGGAAGAAAGGUUUAGGCCCCCGAAUCCGUUGAUCUUGCUUGCAGUUGGGGGAGAAUCGAGCGUGCCGGGGUUGGAUCAGGCCAGCAUCGCUUGCGUGGAAGAGGUUUUGGCUGUGAAUCAAGGCUUCCGAUCUCUUCUCUGUUCGUUAGCAAGAAACAGGACCGAGCCCUAAUCGAAGGAUUGGAGAGGUGAUAUGGUGAUGCCGGCCACCACAGCUCGGUUGGACUGAUCUCUUCAUCAGAUCUGUGAUUACCUCUGACGAUUGAAGGGUGAAGAGGACCUUGAUCUGGACGAGUUGCGUGACGUGGUGGUUCUGUUGAUUGCGGGAUAUAUCGAGGCGUG